rnacentral:rRNA from 1 species
CCCUUAGAUGUUCUGGGCUGCGCGCGCGCUACACUGAAGCUAUCAACACGUUUUCCCUCCCUGAGAAGGGCGGGUAACCUUUUGAAUCAGCUUCGUGGUAGGGAUCGGGGCUUGCAAUUGUUCCCCGUGAACCAGGAAUUCCUAGUAGACGCGAGUCAUAAGCUCGCAUCGAUUAAGUCCCUGCCCUUUGUACACACCGCCCGUCGCUACUACCGAUUGAACGUUUUAGUGAGGCAUUUGGACCGACGCAUCUCAGUUUAACCGCUGGUUUGUGUUGGAAAGACUUCCAAACUUGAGCGUUUAGAGGAAGUAAAAGUCGUAACA